rnacentral:miRNA from 1 species
UAUACAAACACACACUGCAUUAUAUACACACACUAUACAAACACACUGUGUAUAUAAUGCAGUGUGUGUUUGUAUA